CGGAAGCAUUUUCAUAAUUAUACAAAAGUUUGAACAAUUUUCGAGUUACUAUAUCCAAUUUGCUGAACCGUGUUUAAGUUUUCUCAUCAAUAAAAGAUUUUUUUUAAACUUUAUUUAGUGAUAAUGUAUGGAAAAUGUAAGGUCGUACAGCAACAGCCAUAUAUUUAAUCGAGAAAGGGGCGGAUGUGAAUUCCUUCUAUUGAGGUAAUACACCACUUCAUAAAGCUGCUUCGCGUGGUCAUACAGAUACUGCCAGAACUCUCAUCGAAAGAGGAGCCAAUGUAACUGCAGAAAAUUGGGAAAAACAAACACCACUUCACCUAGCUUGUUUGCGUUGUACAGAUAUAUUAGUCAUAUAUCUAAUGGAAAAAGGAUCCAAUGUGAAUGCUGAAGAUGUGAGAAAACAAACACCAUUUCACUGGGCAGCUUCUGAAUGUCGUACAGAAACAGUAAAAUAUCUAAUCGAGAAAGGAGCCCACGUGAAUACUGAAGAUGGAGAUAAAUGGACAGCACUUCACCACGCUGCUGCGAAC